AAAGUAUAAGUUUGAAAUACAUGCUAGCUCAAGGGACCAUCCUCAUUAAGAAGUAUAGAAGGGUUACUUAGACUUAUAAGAAGGCCGAGCCCACCGGCACUUAUCACCAUCAUCAGCAACACAAAACUAUGACCUGAAAAACAACAGGGAAUAAAACCCUGAGUAUGGAAUUACUCAGCAAGUCUUACCCGACUAAAGAAAAGACUCUCAAGGGUAUGCUGGAUUUGGGAAUCAAGGAGAGGCUUUAGCAAGAAUCAACUUAGAUACUUUUGCAGAAAAAAGCUUACUAAAGUGAGUCCUUACUUUCAAUAUUUUAAUGCUAGAUUAAAUAUUAAUAGACUCUGUUUGCAUCUGGUCUAAUUUCACCAUCUUAUCAAUGCAACAUCAUUUUUAUUCAUGAGGUUCACAUCCUGACUUAGGUUGCAGGUCAGUGAUCAAGUCUCCACUCUCCGGGGAUAUAACGGCGAUCCGAAUCGAUUUACUCAGCUGAGGAUCUCUAACCACACGACAUAUGUAGCACUUAACCCUUGCAUAUGUCAACCGUUCCCACAGAUCCUCCACAACGUGAACCGGUCCGCGCUACCCGGGAGCACAGUACUCCUCCAUCCAGCCUCUAGCCAGGAGGGCACACGCUACUCCCACCAUCUCCCACGCCCAGUGCGCGGUUGUCUUUUCACGUAUGGAAUAGCCGGGUUCAAGCUUACCCUGUCCCAUUUCCAGGGCAUGUGGCCAGUUAAGAUAGUCCUUGAUCUAUCAGGCCUACAUACGCAUCCAAUCCUUAAUUGACCUGGACGGAACAUCACCUGUUCCUAGCCCAAGUCCCGAUUUAAGUACUUCCACCCUUAGGAUUGUUUCGUGUUCCUAUGGAUGAAAAGAGCAUUAUAGGGAACUUUGCAGUAAGAUCCCACCAUGCUCGCAAGGAAAAUAUUAUUGCAGGUAGAAGCCACCCUUCCUCAGGAUAACCCUGAGCUAGGCAUAAGUGCAAAGGACAAACUCCACCUGCCUAUAAGCAGGGCUAAGCAUUUUUUUGUAAAUCAUAUUUUGAUACUUCACUAGAAGUAUCUAUAAAGGUAUGGAUAUCAAGGAAGGCAAUGCAUCAAAGGGUUCCAAGCAACUCCUAUAAACCUAAUGCACAUUUCACUAGACUUAAAGUGUGCAAAAAUUAUUUAAAAACACAAGGAAGGGGUUGCAUGCACCGGGGCUUGCCUGGAGUAACACUAGGUUAGUGUUGUUAGGUGGCGACCACUUGGUGACCAUCUCUUGUUCUGAUCUUGUUUCGUCUAUCCAUCUUCAGGGUAGUUCAUUAGCUUCAUCCUGUGGAUUAACCCGCGUUUGGGGUCGACUUGGGUCGUCUUCCGCAUCACACGAUUAUUUAUCGUCCUGAAUGAAGUGCAUUAUGCAUAUGAAUGCAUAUAAAGAAUAAUAACACUAGAUAUUACAAUGCUACACAAAAGAGAAAUAACCUAUUUAAUGACGAGACAUUACGGACACUAGUAUCGAUAUAUUGUUACUUACGACGAUCAUGCUCUUACAACUUAGCUAAAUAGUCGAGGUCACAAUCACCAUCCAUUCCAAUUAUAAAAGCCACUAACACACAUAGAAUAUGAUAUCUAGUUUAGAGAGUACCCUAAACGACUUAUAACUUGUAACUUCACAAUUUUUAGACAUCUAAUACUUAAAAAAUUUGAUAGAAAAACUUUUAUUAACUUUCUAAACUAAUUUACCGGUUAACUCGUGUAUUAUAUAUGUCUACCAAUAUACUUAUCGCAUAACCCUAAAAUUCAACUUAAUCUCUACAUCGAGUAAUAAACAAGAGAAUCAUCGCAAUGAAUUCUUCUAUUUAAUCCUACCAUUUAUUUAGUCGACAGGAAUAAUAAAUCAACUUACCAUAAUUAACUCGAGCUGAAGUUGCGGGGUCAACGAUGAUCUUCGAUUGAAGUCUUCGACCGAGUACUUGAUAAGCGAUGCACAGGGACCUCGCUUAUUUUUGUCUAAAGUCUGGGAUUCAGGGUUCGACAAAUCGAGCAUGGAAGAACGAGGUUCGACGGGCUCGACGACGAUACGGGAGAGCGACGUAUAUGGAGCUGUAGGUCUGGCGGGCUGAUGCAAGUGACAGAGACAGCCGCGUAAGGCAGCAGUGCGUCGACAGUCUAUGGAUUUGGGUGGUUUAUUGAAUAGAUGGGAUGCGAGGAGCCGAACAAUUACUUGAACAUGGUCGACGGCAAAGUCUGCUGGGAGAGAAUAUCAGCACACGACGCGGCACGACGAACGCGCAUAGCUUCAAAACCACGCGCGCGAGACCCCUCUACUGCGGGAUGCGCCUAAGAAACAAG
rnacentral:lncRNA from 1 species